GACAGAUAAUCAGGAGAAGAAAAGGAGAUCCAGAAUCAUGACAGAGAGAUGACCUUUGCCAAGAGCACAGCCAUCUUUCACUGUCACAGAGAGGUAGGACAAAACGAUUGGUGUUCAAGAAUUGGUUUGUAGCACAAUAUUUUAACUAUGUCCUUUAAAAAGUUUCUCCACAGACACUACCCAAAGCAGUCCUUCACUACAGUGGCAGACAGACCUGAAAAUUUUCAUCUGAAGCAGCAGAGUGAACUGCAGAGUCAGGUCACCAACCAGUGUGGAGGCUAAAAGCGGGCCUCUUUGGGGAUUCCAGGUGGAAGUGUUGGACAUCUGUAGUAUUCCUGGUCUCAAAUCAUCCUGAUAUUCUUCAUUUUGUUAUUCACAUUGGACUAGGGCAAGGAAAUGAGUUCUGCAGGAACAAAGAUCACCACAACUGGCUCCCCUUCAACUAUGUUAGAUGGCAACUUGCCUUCAGUAUGGUGAAACACAUCAGUUAAGACUGGGGUUGUGCAUGGCAGGACUUUCUACAAGGACACCCAGUCUCCUUAAUAAACAUGAGAUGCUCUCUUUCCAGAAGUUCUCUUGCCUGACACAGCAUAGGAAGAUGCUGAACGGCCACACAGUGACCCAUUGAGAUAGAAUCUCACUAUGUUGACCAGGCUGGUCUUGAACUCUUGGCACCCAAGCGAUCCUUUUGCCUGGAAUCCCAAAGUGUCAGAUUUACUGAAGAAUAUUUCAUUGUAAUUACUUUUUAUACUUUAUAGGUCAAGAGCUCUGUUUUAAAGACAAAAUUUAUUGAAUAUACUUUUUCAAACAAAGUUUCAUGUUCUAAUCAUUGUCUGAUUUCAGCAUUAAAUGAAACACAGUAAAGAAAGUUGGGCU
rnacentral:lncRNA from 1 species